rnacentral:rRNA from 1 species
GGCCGGGCACUCUAAUGGGACUGCCGGUGACAAACCGGAGGAAGGUGGGGACGACGUCAAGUCAUCAUGGCCCUUAUGGGUAGGGCUUCACACGUCAUACAAUGGCGCGUACAGAGGGUUGCGAAGCCGCGAGGUGGAGCCAAUCCAUAAAGCUGGUCUCAGUUCAGAUUGCAGGCUGCAACCCGCCUGCAUGAAGAUGGAGUUGCUAGUAACCGCAGGUCAGCUAUACUGCGGUGAAUACGUUCCCGGGGCUU